UCCAACUUGGUAGCAAGUGCAUCCAAGAUUCCUCCUUUCCCUUGCUUGCGGCAGAUUGGGUUAUGCACAGAUUUUGGGUAGUUUUAUGAUGUAGAAUGGAUGGGGAAUGGUAUGGAAGGGUUUAGGGUGAGUGUGGAGGAGUGUUUAAUGGUUGGAGGGUGGUGGAGAACUAGGUUAAGAGGGUGGAAGAAGGUGGAGUGGCUGUUAU
rnacentral:lncRNA from 1 species